rnacentral:rRNA from 1 species
AGUCGAACGGCAGCACAGUAUGUAGCAAUACAUAUGGGUGGCGAGUGGCGGACGGGUGAGUAACGCGUGGGAAUCUGCCUUGAAGCGGGGGACAACCCGAGGAAACUCGGGCUAAUACCGCAUAAUCUCGAGAGAGAAAAGCUGGGGCAACCUGGCACUUCAAGAGGAGCCUGCGUCUGAUUAGCUAGUUGGUGGGGUAAAGGCCUACCAAGGCGAUGAUCGGUAACUGGUCUGAGAGGAUGACCAGUCACACUGGGACUGAGACACGGCCCAGACUCCUACGGGAGGCAGCAGUGGGGAAUAUUGGACAAUGGGGGCAACCCUGAUCCAGCAAUGCCGCGUGUGUGAAGAAGGCCUUCGGGUUGUAAAGCACUUUAGGUGGGGAGGAAGGUGUAUAUUUUAAGAGAUAAUACAUUUGACUGUACCUGCAGAAUAAGCACCGGCUAACUCUGUGCCAGCAGCCGCGGUAAUACAGAGGGUGCAAGCGUUAAUCGGAAUUACUGGGCGUAAAGGGCGCGUAGGCGGUUAUUUAAGUUAGAUGUGAAAUCCCUGGGCUUAACCUAGGAACUGCAUCUAAGACUGGAUAGCUGGAGUGCAGUAGAGGGUAGUGGAAUUUCCGGUGUAGCGGUGAAAUGCGUAGAUAUCGGAAGGAACACCAGUGGCGAAGGCGGCUACCUGGACUGACACUGACGCUGA